UAACCGGGAUCAUCAUCUGGUGGGAGGGAGUGUUUGUUGUUUUUAGCCAAGUUGUGCUCCAUAUGUCAAUGAGAUAUUCCUUUCUCUCACUUGUGGACAUGGAGACAUGGACUUGAGGAUGGUUAUUUAUUAUUUUUGUAUGGUGCAAGUGCCUUGGAAUGUUUGCUAGUCAUUGUACUCUGUUACUAGUGUUGAACAUGUACUACAAAUAUAUUGUCAAGACAUGUAUGUGUUACCCAGGGGUGCUGUGUCAUACACAAGCAUGUCACAUGCUAUACAGAUAGGUCAUAGGAUACCCAGGAAAUUGAAUUUAUUUUCGGGGAUGUCGUAUGAGUGAGUGAGUGAGUUACUAUUUAACGUCACAUCGGCAAUAUCUCAGCCAUAUCGUGACGAAUGAUGAAGGAUGUCGUAUGAUGUCCUUGGAUGUCAUGAUGGGUGUCGUGUCAUGUGGUGCCCAGGGAUGUUGCGAGAUACCGGGGGGGUUCACACACUGUCCAGGUCGAUGUCGCAAUACCCUUGGGUGUCGCCAUCGUGUUGUGUGGUGCCCAGGAGUGUUGUGUGAUACCCGGGGGGUUCUCACACUGUCCAGGUAGGUGUUGAAUACCCUUGGGUGUCUGGGAUAUUGUGUGGUACCUGGGUGUGCCAUACAUUAUCCAGGUGGGUGUCAUGUACCUUGGGUGUUGUGUUGGGUGGUGCCAAGGGAUGUUGCAUGAUACCUGGGAGUGUCUGACACUUUCCAGGUAGGUGUCGUGAUACCCUGGGUGUUGUGUUGAGUGGUGUCAAAGGGUGUUGCAUGAUACCUGGGAGUGUCUGACACUGUCCAGGUAGGUGUCGUGAUACCCUUGGGUGUUGUGUUGAGUGGUGUCAAAGGAUGUUGCAUGAUACCUGGGGGUGUCUGACACUGUCCAGGUAGGUGUCGUGAUACCUCGGGUGUCGUGUUGAGUGGUGUCAAAGGAUGUUGCAUGAUACCUGGGGGUGUCUGACACUGUCCAGGUAGGUGUCCUGAUACCCUGGGUGUCGUGUUGGGUGGUGCCAAGGGAUGUUCAUUGUCAUCUGACCAAGGGUGGGGUGGGAUACACAAGGGUGUCACGCUAAACCAAGGGCUAUUAAUAUAUUACAUUCACAAAUAGGAUUUUACUGGGUUUUCCCCAUGUAUUUUACCAAUUUUACCAAUUUUGAUAAUUACUGUUGUUUAGUCUCUGCAGUACCAGCUUGAUAUGUUUGGGAAGUCAAUCCGGUGCCUGCAUAGCUAAAUACAUUUCCAUGUUCCAUGUUGGCUAUCCUACUUGUGUUGAUGUGGGAUCUGUGUCCAUGUUGUUCUUUUUCAUGAUAAUGCUGAAUAUUUAAUUUCAGAAUUUGCCACAUGUUUUACAGAACCAUGUUUUGGUUUUGCUUUGUUCACACAUCGAAGCAUUCCCACAUGUCACAAACUGUUGAUUUGUAUCUGUGCCGCCUUCAGUGUUGUUUAUGUGUAUAUACCGUACAGAACAAUUACAGAUCAUGAAUGUGUUGAGGGAUAUUUUUUGUAAUUUUGACUGAGCAUGCAAUUUGUAGAUCAGCUGAUAAAUUGAGACAAGUACUGCAUUUUAUAUAUUUGUCUUAUUAUUCUCUUGGCCAAAACCAACUUUCAAGAAUAUAUUUUUUUAUUUAUUGUGUGUGUUCGGGCUGUCAGUGGAUGAUGUAGUUAAUGUAGCAUUCCACAAAUUUAGGGUAUAUUAUCACCACAAAUGUUGAUUAUUGUUUGUUGUUAUAAUAUGAAAUGUUAUGUUACUUACAUGUAUAUGCCAGUUCUUUUUUAUGGGGAAGGUUUCAAAAGUUUGGAUGUUAUUUACAUAUGCAAUUAUACUGAAUACAAUAUACAAUGUUUGUAUAUCCCGACAUUUCCUUGCUCACAUAUGAAACCUGUGCUGUGUUA
rnacentral:lncRNA from 1 species